GGGCUCAGAGCCUGGCAGACCACAGCUAUCCUGCAGUGCGUCUCAGAAAGUUUAAAGGAAAUGGAUUCACAUUUUUCUUUUGUUAUCCCACAUGCCCCUUCCUCCAUAAUGGAGCCACCAGUACAUGAAAACAGCACAGGAGGCUCCUGGAAAUGCAAAGGAAUGGAUACCAGCAAAAAUGCGAAUUACCUGCAGUGCCCAUAGCAAUGCUUGGCUGCUUAAGAUGCAACAUGGCUUCACUUUCUCUCAACCCUGAAAACGUCAAGAGACAAACUUUCUCCMGAGAAAUUUUGCACAGGAGCCGUGAAUAUAUGCAAGGGCCCAAUGGUGAAAUGCCAGGAUCUGUGCCAGUGUGCCAACUCCACUGUUAUUAUGGUCAGCAGGCUUUUACAGCACCAGGAUCCGCAGCAACGUAAAUACACACCAGACUCCCCUGAAUGGAAGUGUGGUAUUGAUUUUGGUGUACUCUAUUGCACUCUAACAGAUCUUAAUGACAGGCUGUUACUUCAAACAGCAUGACAAAAACUUACUAAAAUAAUCAAUUUUUCCUCAGCAAUUAAAGGCAAAGCAAAAUUGAGAUCUCAAACAGCCUCUGAUGAGAACUUCUCUUAAUGUUCCUUUUCAUCUCUARUGCUGAUGCUCCAAAGUAAAACAUCUAGGUAAAAAUAAAAGCAUGUUAAUACAGAAUGUUAGGCAAAAAUAUGUCUAUAAGAGUGAARCUAUACAAUUUAGAGUGUCUAGCUUUUUCUGGCAUUUGUUAUAGCCCASUGAAUGCAGUUUAUUUCAAUGUGAUUUCAAAAGCAGAUAAGCAAGUAUGCGCAUUACAGGAAUCAUUCAAAAAAGAUGGUUUGAGUUUGAGAUGAAUCAYUUCACAAAUUCUUCAAGAGUGAAGAAAACCACUUGAUAAUUUAAGUUCUACCUUAAUAAGAAUCUAUGACAUUGGYAUUUCUUAGAGAUAUCUCUUUUUCCUUUUCAUGAAAAAGAAACACCUAAAAUACAACUGAGAUCUAUCCUUCAUUAAGAUGGUUCUGUGUCCUUGAGAUCUGCRGCAGAAUCAUAGAAUAAUAGUUUGUUUUGGCUUGGAAGRGACCUGUAAAGGUCAUUUAAUCAACCCCCAUGCAAUGARCAGGGACAUCUUCAACUUGAUCAAGCUGUUCAGAGCCCUGUCCAACUUGGCCUUGAGUGUUUGCAGGGUGGUUAAAGUUGAGAUGCAGUUCUGCAGUGCUUCUUCACUCUCCUGUGUAGCWCAUAAAGACAUGGACACUUGCUUUCACCAAAGAGAAUCAUUUAUUGCAGCCACACAUGGGCUUUUAUACUGCAAAGUGAUUAAUUAAUAUGCACGUCAGGGAGUGGCAGACCAUGUAACAAUUCAGUCUCUUGCCUGUGCAAGGUUAUUGAAUUUGCCUAGACAUGAUUAAUGGUGCUAGUUACUUCAUUGAAGGUAAUUGAAGGAGAAUCUGGUGUUACAGUUUUCAAGAUCUACAGAAAUGCAGUCUAAAUUAAAGCAAUUUCAACUGCAAGUAAUUUUCAAAUAAAAAMCAAAAUGUAUGUAUAUUUAUCUGUAUGCAGAAUUAUUUGUUUUUUUUUCUUUACUAUUAGGUCAAGUAACUAAUCCUGCAGGGCUUUGAAAUUAAAUGAAGGGAACAA